rnacentral:lncRNA from 1 species
GGUUUUCUUUGAUUCAAAGUUUGAGGCUGCAGUUUGCCAUGAUGGGAAAGGUCUUCAUUCUCUGUUACAGAACCCUUCAAAUUUCCGUGGAUUCAGAAAUAAAUGUAUGGCUAGCAGUCCAGUCCUAGGAGUACAUGACUCAACGUUGUCUGGAAACCUCUCCAUCCCAAGUCCAGACUCACUUACCUGACAGAGGAUGGUGCUAUCGAUGGAGCAAACUGUGUCUUCAUAGGAUCAAGCUUCUGACGAUGAAGAAGGUCUUGAGAAAGGAAGACCUUUUUGGUUGAGGCAGGGGAAAGAAGUCAAGCUCUCAGAAUUUCAGGAGUGGACAGAGGGAGGUUCUGUGUGGGAAGCUUGAGGGCUGUGGAAGGAGAACUCUGCAGGACAGGCAGGCAGUGCAGCAGAGACCACAGAGCUGCUAUAUCACCUUCUGCGCAUGCAGUCCAGUUUCAUAGGAUAAAUCUUUGAGAAAAAGAGACUUUAAAUCAGUAAUUAUCUACAAGGUCAUGUGAUCAGCUUGUGGUUUCCUUUUUAUUCAGCAGCAAAGGGAGCUAAGGACAUUGUAUCCGGGUCCAAAAGCAUAUUUGUUCACUGUAUAAUUUUGUAAGAAGCUCAUUUUAAGCAAAACACUGAAUGGUCAUAGAUUUAUGUCUGGCACUAUAGCUCAUUUGGUAGAGUACUUGCCCAGUAUCUGUGGGUUUGUCUUCAGUAUUCCAUAUACUGGCAUGGAGGCACAUACUUGCAUUUAUAGUUCACAGAAACAGGUUUAGAUACAUGAGGCCAAGUCUGAACAAAUAGCAACAAAACCUGAAGAUUUGUUAAUUUUUGAUAUCUAAAAUAUGCAAGUAUAUGUC